AGGUCGGAUAUUCUGUCUUUCAGUGAUGUUCUAAACCCUGGAACACAGGCUAUCUGACCUAG
ensembl:miRNA mdo-mir-7385a mdo-mir-7385a